GAACUGGGCCGGGAAAGCAAAGCAUUACGGGGCUUUUAUUGUAAUAAUAUCUCCCGCCUCUGGAUUCUAUCUAUUCUUUGUUCCACACGCGCCUACACUGGUGUUACAGUCGGUUUCGAAGAGCAGAGAACGAGAAGCAAGGUUCUACUGCACAAGUUAUACUAAUUCGGAAUGCCCUGCUCAUGUCUUGAUCUUGUUUCUAAUGGCACCGAAUCUAUCAUCCAUGCAAUCAUUUGGUGUUGUUCUGUGACCAGAAGAAGGAGAAGAAGCCUCUUUUCGAUUACAAGUCUCUAUUUAUCUAUCCCCUGAUUAAAGAUUCCAUUUCAGUGUUGUAGUGGAAAAUGGUUGACGACUGUAAUUUUCUCUAAAGCUGAGAGAGGAUAUAGAAAUGCUUCGGGUAGAAACGUGAGGCACUUACUAUAUUUCAAAUAUUCUGGAUUUUCCUUUCGAGUUGCCGGUUUAAUAAUUCCGUCUUCGGGAUAUCAAAAUUGUGUUCUCGAUCUAAGCAUACAUCGAAGGAAAGGUUGUUUGAAGAAGUAAACCAUCAUCGUAGGUAAAUUACAUCAGAUCAGUAAAAGUUGCUUAAUAUGGUAAUGAGUGUGUUGACAGAUGAGUAUUCUUUUGCGUUAGCUCUCUUUAUCGAUUUUUUUUUUAAGAAUUUCUUUGCUGCAAGAGACCUUUUCUUCUAGACGAUGUUUAAUGUUAGCAAAUAAAAUUACAGUAAUUAGUAGCUAUAGAAACUUGAUGUUGACAAAACACUCUGGCCAUGUGUGAAAAAAACUUUUGUAAGUGUCAGCAAGAAAUUGCAGUAGAAGGGAUGAAAAAGGUGACAGGGAGAAUAAAAACUGACAUGGUUUGAUUAUUAUGAUAGCAAGAUUUGUGUUUAUGUUGUGGAGAAUAUGACUCUAAACUUGAUGUAGAUGAAAGAAAUAAAAUUUUGGUUGAAGAACUCAACUUGCUGGGGAUUGGGGCGUGCUUGAGUUGAGGUGAAGAAAAUUUUCUUCAGUUUCGUUUUUCAUAUAAAACAGUUUGUUGUUUGUGCAGUAAAAUAGGAAAGACAUGUGCCAUCUUCCUAUUUGUUUGAAUUAAAACUGUUUAUAUCAAUCAAGGGUUCUCAUGAAAGGAUUUCUAUGGAAUUUAGGGUGUGGCUGUUUAAUCUCAGUGCAAAACAGUAUUUCCUUGAUCGUAGAAAGCAGCUAACAGUAUUUGGAAAAAAAAUAGGAAACUUCACUUAAGGCUGUCUUCCUCUUGCUUGGAAGUUUUCUUUUUUCUUUUCAUUAUUUUUUUCUUCUUCUUCUUCCUUUUUUUUAAAAAAAGAAUCAGUGCUAUUGUUUGGCUAUUUUUUACUUACAAAGUUUUGUAGUUAAGCUAUUCAGGCUUGAUGAGAAUUCAUACUUCUAUUACCUUUUCCUUUUCUUUUGAAUUUUUCCCCCUCCAUGGCAUGGGCAGGUUGCAGGUAUUUUCUGUUGGGUAAAAUGUGAUCUAGUUAGAAUAUUUUUUUGUCAUUUUCUUAAUGAUAAUAUUGUAGGCCUUUUUAAGGCAAGGGUUAUUGCUGGUUUAAUUAUGAUAGAGAUCAAUGCAAAUAGCUGAGAAAUUGAUCAUGAAGAUUUUCAGAGGAAUAGUGCCUGGCAGUUCGUGAUCAAGAGGAAUCAGCUCUCAUGGGUUCUGGUGGUUUUCAUGAUUUAAUCGAGAAUGAAACAACUUGAAAGCAAUUUAGUGUGAAUGCCAGAGAUGCUACAAAUUAUUUUGAUGUCGUCUUGGCAUGUAAAAGAUUUCCCUCCAUUGUUUUGGAUAGUUUUUUUUCCAGUGGAACUGCAUGAUGAGCCUGACAUGAAUGGCCUUUUAGCAGCUACAAGUCUGGAAGGAUGUCUUCCAAAUGCUAUGGGUGAUCCAGAUAUUCUUCAUGAGCAAUGGGCAUCUCCACACACCCUUUCAAAUGUGAACUCUUCCAUGCCAAAAGAAUUAAGAAGUGAAAGUUCAUACAUAAUAAGUGAAUUUAGGGAACAAAAUAUAUACGCAUCAAAAGAAUUGAAUUUUUCCCAGUUUGCCUUUAUAUUCUCCAGACGUGACUUUGGAAACUGAAGAAAAACUAGGUCAUCAAAUUGGCACAGAAGAAUCUGCUACCAAAGUGGAGCUUGAAUUGCAAGAAAAUAAACCUAUCAGUUGCCUACCUGGUAAAUACUAGGCAACACUGUCAGCUGGAAAACUGUGGUUUUCACAUGAUUGGUCUGUUGUGUGAAAACAUGAAGUUCUUUUAUGUUCUUAUAAUUGAAAUAGGACAUGGGUUCACAUUCUUGUCAUGUUUGUGCAGUCACGGUAGUUUCCGCAACCUUUUCCUCAAACUUAUGCUGAUUUGCAGAAUGCACAUUUUGGAAUAGAAGAUGGACAGUAUUUGAUUUCUAUUGGGAAAGCAACAUCUUCCAGGGCAGUCAGCCAGUUAUUCGUGGGCAUUUACUGAAGUGAUUCUGGGUUAUGAGAUCGUAAACAAUGAAUCUAAGCAUGCGGUUGAUGACAUUAAUACUGGAGGAAAGAAAACAAUUUAUUUGCACCUUUAAGAAAUAUUUUUGUGGCACUCGUUUUACUUGUCUGCCUUUUCUUAAAAGACUCAAAAGAGAAGCACAAAUUGGGAGAUGCCUGCGUUAGUGGUAAGGCGAGUAGGUUUGAUACUGUUUUUUUUUUUUAUCUGUUUUGAUCAAGAGAUACCAGUUGUCCGCAUAUUUUUUCAUCCAAGAGUGUUAGCUUGAGCAAGGGCAAGAUAUUUGUAAUGAGUCCUAUUACUGUGUAUUUCAUCUUCUUUCGGCCUACUGAUUCUAUGAAAAAAGACUUUGCCCAAGGCAUUUUUUUUAA